rnacentral:lncRNA from 1 species
CCAAUCCUAUGCAUUCCUCAUAAUAGCCGGUUGAUGAUUAAGCACGUAUUAAUGAAAAUUUUAAAAAGAAAAAAGAAAAAUUUUUAAGUGGGUUUUAAAAAGUUCAUAAGCCAAAAUCUCAUUAACCAUUUUUUGAAGGAAGCAACAGCUCGUCUCUGAAACGUCAUAUGCCACUAUUCACACAAUUUUAUUAUGAAAAUUAUUGAACCAAGGCUGAGAAAAAGGGAAAAAAAAUAAAUUCUUUCAGAGUUGUCUGUUACUACUACAUAGAGAAAUGACGGGGAGCUGCAAUUUCAGAGGUGAGGGAGGGUUUUGUAAAUUUCAUAAUUUUUUUCGUUAUUCAACUUAUAAUUUUUUUUUUUUUGGAGUGAUGAAAUGUUUGUAAUAUCAUUGAUUGGUUUAUCGAUUAGUAUCCUCAUAGUUUUAUCUUGCUUCAAAUUCUUAAAUAGGCCAUAUGCAUCAAGUGUUUGAUGAAAUGUCUGAAUGGCGUAAGCAAAUGCUAGUUGGCUAAUUUUAAACAUGUUAAUCGGUUUACAAAUUCAUGUUUCAGAGUUCAACUAUUUUCAUGUAAUUUCAUUAUUAACAUAGUAUGAUUUGUUAUCGAUGAAGUGAGAAUAUUAUAAGUGGAAUGAAUAGUUGAGCAGGUGCUUUAAGUUUCAAAGUCUUUAGAGAAUGACUUAACAGAACGUUCUGUUUUUAUGGCAUGAGCAUAUAGUUAGGAUUAUAUAUAACGGGUACUGUCAUCAUAAAGCAUGAUUAUGUUACAAUUCAUGGACGAAGGAGUAUGUGUUUUUAAUUUUGUGCUUAUGUUUAACAUACUUGAACAACUGUCCUCAGGUUUUAUAAAUGGAAAAGACUGCUAUAAAUGGAAAACACACAAAAGAAUCUGCAGGAAUGACAUUUAAAAUUUAAGCUAGACAAAUGGAUUUGGGACGCUUGAGAAGAAAGUAAUCUGCUGGAACUAAAAACAAUGAACCAGGUAAAAGAAAGGUAUCUUAUCAAGCUACUAGUGCUUUUUGAACUAAGAAUAAUGAGUUGUUCCAUUUAUUUUUUUAUAUUUCCAGGUUCAAUCAAUCCUGUGCACAUGAGAGCGAACCAUUGAAGUGAAUAUAAACAAUAAAAUGGCAACAGUUGCUGGAAAGCAUACCAAGUUGUAAGGCGAUGAUGAACAUUCUUUGACGGGUAUAAGGUGGUCGUUAUUCAUACAGCAAAGAAAGAUUGAAAUGAAGCAUAAUGCUUCGAAGUUUUUAGAUGGACCUCAGAUUGUCUUGCUGGGGUAUCAUGCGAAGAACCAUGAUAUUUUCGCACUUGUUUAAUUGUUAUUUUAUUUGUAUCCUCUAUUGUCACCAUGCCUAUCAAGUUUUAUAUAGGUAUAUCUCUUUAUGGAACAACUGAAAUAUGUUGAUUUAAUAUGAUCUCUUAUUUUGGGUAGAUGACUGUUGUCAUAAAAGGAAUAUAUAUGUUAAAUUUUUUGCGUUAAUAAAUUUAUGUAUGCAUCACUAUUUUCAGCUCAAUUUCUAUGGCUUUCAAUUGCUUCGGACCAAUAUAAGGAAACUGUAAAGG